GGUAGAAUGGCCGAGGGUUAGGCGGCGGAUUGUAGCUCCACGAACAAAGGUUCAAGUCCUUUUUUUACCA
rnacentral:tRNA from 2 species